rnacentral:rRNA from 1 species
AUGAAGGACGUGCUAAUCUGCGAUAAGCGUCGGUAAGGUGAUAUGAACCGUUAUACCCGACGAUUUCCGAAUGGGGAAACCCAGUGCAAUUCGUUGCACUAUCGUUUGAUGAAUACAUAGUCAAACGAAGCGAACCGGGGGAACUGAAACAUCUCAGUACCCCGAGGAAAAGAAAUCAACCGAGAUUCCCCUAGUAGCGGCGAGCGAACGGGGAGCAGCCCAGAGUCUUAAUCAGCAUUAGUAUCAGGAGAACGGUCUGGAAAGUCCGGCAGUAAAGGGUGAUAGCCCCGUAUCUGAAGAUAUUAGUGUUGUGAACUCGACGAGUAGGGCGGGACACGUGUUAUCCUGUCUGAAUAUGGGGGGACCAUCCUCCAAGGCUAAAUACUCCUGAUUGACCGAUAGUGAACCAGUACCGUGAGGGAAAGGCGAAAAGAACCCCGGCGAGGGGAGUGAAAUAGAACCUGAAACCGUGUACGUACAAGCAGUGGGAGCCUUGAUUUAUCAGGGUGACUGCGUACCUUUUGUAUAAUGGGUCAGCGACUUAUAUUCUGUAGCAAGGUUAACCGUAUAGGGGAGCCGUAGGGAAACCGAGUCUUAACUGGGCGAAUGAGUUGCAGGGUAUAGACCCGAAACCCGGUGAUCUAGCCAUGGGCAGGUUGAAGGUUGGGUAACACUAACUGGAGGACCGAACCGACUAAUGUUGAAAAAUUAGCGGAUGACUUGUGGCUGGGGGUGAAAGGCCAAUCAAACCGGGAGAUAGCUGGUUCUCCCCGAAAGCUAUUUAGGUAGCGCCUCGUGAACUCAUCUUCGGGGGUAGAGCACUGUUUCGACUAGGGGGUCAUCCCGACUUACCAACUCGAUGCAAACUACGAAUACCGAAGAAUGUUAUCACGGGAGACACACGGCGGGUGCUAACGUUCGUCGUGAAGAGGGAAACAACCCAGACCGCCAGCUAAGGUCCCAAAGUCAUAGUUAAGUGGGAAACGAAGUGGGAAGGCUCAGACAGCCAGGAUGUUGGCUUAGAAGCAGCCAUCAUUUAAAGAAAGCGUAAUAGCUCACUGGUCGAGUCGGCCUGCGCGGAAGAUGUAACGGGGCUAAACUAUGCACCGAAGCUGCGGCAGCGAUAUGUAAAUAUUGUUGGGUAGGGGAGCGUUCUGUAAGCCUGUGAAGGUGUACUGUGAGGUAUGCUGGAGGUAUCAGAAGUGCGAAUGCUGACAUAAGUAACGAUAAUGCGGGUGAAAAACCCGCACGCCGGAAGACCAAGGGUUCCUGUCCAACGUUAAUCGGGGCAGGGUGAGUCGACCCCUAAGGCGAGGCAGAAAUGCGUAGUCGAUGGGAAACGGGUUAAUAUUCCCGUACUGGUGAUAAUUGCGAUGGGGGGACGGAGAAGGCUAGGCUGGCCGGGCGACGGUUGUCCCGGUUUAAGGAUGUAGGCAGGUGAAUUAGGCAAAUCCGGUUCACUAUAUGCUGAGGUCUGAUGACGAGUCACUACGGUGGCGAAGUAGCUCAUGCCCCGCUUCCAGGAAAAG